CCUACGGGUGGCAGCAGUGGGGAAUAUUGCACAAUGGGGGAAACCCUGAUGCAGCGACGCCGCGUGAGCGAUGAAGUAUUUCGGUAUGUAAAGCUCUAUCAGCAGGGAAGAAAAUGACGGUACCUGACUAAGAAGCCCCGGCUAACUACGUGCCAGCAGCCGCGGUAAUACGUAGGGGGCAAGCGUUAUCCGGAUUUACUGGGUGUAAAGGGAGCGUAGACGGCUUGGCAAGCCAGAUGUGAAAGGCUGGGGCUCAACCCCAGGACUGCAUUUGGAACUGUCAUGCUAGAGUGUCGGAGAGGCAGGCGGAAUUCCUAGUGUAGCGGUGAAAUGCGUAGAUAUUAGGAGGAACACUCGUGGCGAAGGCGGGUUCCUGGACAUUAACUGACGCUGAGGCACGAAGGCCAGGGGAGCGAAAGGGAUUAGAUACCCGUGUAGUC
rnacentral:rRNA from 1 species